UGCAAGUCGAACGAGUUCUGAUUAUUGAAAGGUGCUUGCAUCUUGAUUUAAUUUUGAACGAGUGGCGGACGGGUGAGUAACACGUGGGUAACCUGCCCUUAAGUGGGGGAUAACAUUUGGAAACAGAUGCUAAUACCGCAUAAAUCCAAGAACCGCAUGGUUCUUGGCUGAAAGAUGGCGUAAGCUAUCGCUUUUGGAUGGACCCGCGGCGUAUUAGCUAGUUGGUGAGGUAACGGCUCACCAAGGCAAUGAUACGUAGCCGAACUGAGAGGUUGAUCGGCCACAUUGGGACUGAGACACGGCCCAAACUCCUACGGGAGGCAGCAGUAGGGAAUCUUCCACAAUGGACGCAAGUCUGAUGGAGCAACGCCGCGUGAGUGAAGAAGGCUUUCGGGUCGUAAAACUCUGUUGUUGGAGAAGAAUGGUCGGCAGAGUAACUGUUGUCGGCGUGACGGUAUCCAACCAGAAAGCCACGGCUAACUACGUGCCAGCAGCCGCGGUAAUACGUAGGUGGCAAGCGUUAUCCGGAUUUAUUGGGCGUAAAGCGAGCGCAGGCGGUUUUUUAAGUCUGAUGUGAAAGCCCUCGGCUUAACCGAGGAAGUGCAUCGGAAACUGGGAAACUUGAGUGCAGAAGAGGACAGUGGAACUCCAUGUGUAGCGGUGAAAUGCGUAGAUAUAUGGAAGAACACCAGUGGCGAAGGCGGCUGUCUGGUCUGUAACUGACGCUGAGGCUCGAAAGCAUGGGUAGCGAACAGGAUUAGAUACCCUGGUAGUCCAUGCCGUAAACGAUGAAUGCUAGGUGUUGGAGGGUUUCCGCCCUUCAGUGCCGCAGCUAACGCAUUAAGCAUUCCGCCUGGGGAGUACGACCGCAAGGUUGAAACUCAAAGGAAUUGACGGGGGCCCGCACAAGCGGUGGAGCAUGUGGUUUAAUUCGAAGCAACGCGAAGAACCUUACCAGGUCUUGACAUCUUUUGAUCACCUGAGAGAUCAGGUUUCCCCUUCGGGGGCAAAAUGACAGGUGGUGCAUGGUUGUCGUCAGCUCGUGUCGUGAGAUGUUGGGUUAAGUCCCGCAACGAGCGCAACCCUUAUGACUAGUUGCCAGCAUUUAGUUGGGCACUCUAGUAAGACUGCCGGUGACAAACCGGAGGAAGGUGGGGAUGACGUCAAAUCAUCAUGCCCCUUAUGACCUGGGCUACACACGUGCUACAAUGGAUGGUACAACGAGUUGCGAGACCGCGAGGUCAAGCUAAUCUCUUAAAGCCAUUCUCAGUUCGGACUGUAGGCUGCAACUCGCCUACACGAAGUCGGAAUCGCUAGUAAUCGCGGAUCAGCACGCCGCGGUGAAUACGUUCCCGGGCCUUGUACACACCGCCCGUCACACCAUGAGAGUUUGUAACACCCGAAGCCGGUGGCGUAACCCUUUUAGGGAGCGAGCCGUC
rnacentral:rRNA from 1 species